AUGGGCUGGGCUUCUCUACUGUUCAUUCUUCUGGCUCACUGCACAGGGGCCAGUUCCCAGGCUGUGGUGACUCAGGAAACUUCACUGGCCAUAACUCCUGGAGGGACGGUCACACUCACCUGUGGCUCUAGUACUGGGGCUGUCACCACCAGCAACUAUGCCAGCUGGGUCCAACAGACCCCCUACCAGGUACCCCGUGGUCUAAUAGGUGACACUAGCAACCGGGUCUCAGGGGUCCCUGCCCGGUUCUCAGGCUCCCUGCUUGGAGGCAAGGCUGCCCUCACCAUCACGGGGGUUCAGCCUGAGGACGAGGCUGAAUAUUACUGUGCUCUGUGGUUCAGCAACCAUUUCCACAGUGACAGACACAGAUGGUGA